rnacentral:lncRNA from 1 species
UCGUACUCGACCUGACAAACCACGCACCGAUCGAUUAUUCCGCCAACCUCAGGUCCAAAUUUUGACGAUCGCAGGCAAUUCGAGAUUUGAUUCAACGAAAAUCCUCUCUUCUCCACUCCAACAAACUCUGCUAGAGCAAUCAGUUCUUCGUAAGAUAAUUCAUCUGGAUCGAUCUCAUCUUCUUCCUCAAUAUCAUCCAUAUCUUCAUCACUGUAAUCACUGUCCAGAAACCCUAGGCCGUCCUCGAAAUCGUAACCUUGGAAGUAUCCGUAAUAAUUAUAAUUGCCUUGGCUAAUUUCUUCUUCUUCUUCUUCUUCUUCUUCGUCUUCGUCCUCAGUUUCGCUUUCGAUUGUGGCGAGCACUGACAGUGCCGUCUCUUGUUCUUGCAGGUUAUUAAUGGCGAAAUCCGAGUCCGCCUGCUCCUUUCUUUGUUUGGUGAGGUCUUGGUUGUCCAUUGAAUAUCGGUGAAGCAAAUCGCGGAAUACAGAGUGAGAGAGGAAUGGUUGAAACAUAAAGGAAUACAAAUGGAGGUUUUCUUGCAGGUAAGUGUAACUUAGAUGGGAAGAAAAUGGUGAUAUUCCAGAUUUGGAGAUGGAAGGUGGUUAAGGUUUGAUACCAGGCUUUUGCCUUUGGUGUAGCUAUAGAUAGAGAGAGUGAAGGCUUCUUAUUGGACAAGGCAAAAACCAUCUCUCAUAAUUUGUGCCUAAACCUUGCCUAAUCUCCACGUAAUUUCUCCUUCUUACUGUAUAAAUAUAUACUUACAUGAGCAUUCAUUCUUGUUUUUUUUUUUUUUUGGUUUUUGGACAAAGCUAAACAUUGCAUCUACUCACAAAUUCAUUAAUCUUAUUUUGUUAAGUUUAUUAGAUGAUAAAAGAUAAAAUUUAUACCAUCUUUAUUAUAUGUGGAUUAAUUGAAACAGUACAAAUCUUAUUAUUAAUUCUUUAAAUUUCAUGAUCUAUAAACGUGAUCUUUCCCAACUACCACCUUCAUGGGCGGCUCUGUUUUAAGAGCGUUACUUAUUAUGUUCUUACUGUGUACCACGAUGAUAAUAUAAGGAUGAUGACGACGAUGAAGAUGACGAUGAUGGUGAUAAUAAUGUAUGUACUAUGAGAUGAGAUCUGGGUUUCCUUUUAACUCCUUGUUAUAAAGCAUUAUCAUCAUCUUCGUCAUCUUCAUCAUCGUCAUCAUCUUCAUCAUGGUGCAAUAGUAAGAACAUAGUAAGUAACCCUCUUGAACCAGUGCACCCAAUGAAAGGUAGCAGCUGGGAAGGGUUACGUUCGUAGAUUGCAGACCGAUUUCAUCUCAAUCUCAUCUGUUAACCUUUCGUUUCUUCCUUUCUUUUUCCCGCAUGGAAGAGAAAAAAAUCAUAGAUCAUCAUCAUCAAUAACAAAUUCAUUGGAUAAAGGAAUUUCAUAUACAAGAAUACUAAUCACACCCUUAACCGGACCUGAAAAUUUUAUAUAAUUCCUUAAAUGGGAAACAAGUAAGAAUUAAAUUGAACCAAAUGGACAUAAGAGUACUAAUCCAUUGGCAAACUUUGGCUUCUCCUACAAUUUGUACCUCUUCUGAACAAACUUUGAUGUCCUCCUCACCUUGAGCUCGUGAUCUUUGCUUGCAUGGUUUCUGUGCAACCCGAGAUUCCUUUUGCAACCAUAAACUGAAUCUCUGUUAGACCCUGCUUGAAUUCCGACACUUCUCGGCCUCAAAGAUCUCCUUAAACGAAUUCCUUUAUAAUUCCUCCGCCGCCUAGAUGAUCUCCAUGAUCUACUACUUUGCUCUAUAUGUCUAGGCGUGUGAUAUGAAAAGCUUCUGUCGUUAUAUUCAAUGUCACUUGUGUAGAAUCCAUCUUCCAUUUCUCUUCUGUACCUACGACGCCUUUUCCUUCUAACGCUCAUAAGCUCAACACAUAAGAAAGUGCAACAGUACUCCCAGGCAGAGAACCAACACUUGAUGCUUCCCCAAAUCAUUUUGCAAAUGCUAUGGCCAAUGCAGUGGCAAAUGCCCAGUUUAUAUGAUAAAUAAAUGAAUAACAGAACUGCAAAUUAAAAUAAGAAAACAAACAAAUCAAACUGGGACUUGACUAGGUUAAAAUUGACUUAAUUGGGUCUAGUUACUAUCAGUACUCACCGAUAUAGCAUAGGAUAAGUACCAUUCCCAUCUUGAACAGAUUGGCAACACAGAAGUUCUCGAUGUAACAAAUAAGGUCCCAUUGUGAGCUGCAAACCGUACUGAACAAGACACCAAGAAAAGAAAGAGGUAGUUCUUGAACUUAUUUGCUCUAGCAAGAAGUGAAAAUAUAGUAGAAGAUGUACAAAUUGCUUCCAGUAAUAUUUACCUGCAGGACUUCCCUGAAAGAAAAUCAAGUGGGGAACCAAAAAGUUUGCCGAUUGAGUCAAUUAAACUCGAAAAGAAUGAGCUAAUUACGUUGCCCAUCAAGUCAGCCGAAUCAUCCAGGAAAAAUUAACUAAAUGUCCGGUAGAAGAUAGAUUUUAUGUGUUUCUGAGUGCUGUGAAGUUGCAUAGAACUUGGUAAUUUCCAACAGUUAAAUUUGAUAAUCAGAUAUCCGCUGUACAGAAACUUCCAAACAGAAAAGUCGUGCAAAUCGAAGGAUCUGCAAUCGUGAAAAGAAUGAUUAACAAUCACAGUGGAAUUACAGGAUAAGUAGAAUUGUUAUGCAUUUAGAGAAUAUAGUCUGAAAGAAAGGAAGAAUCACUCUAAUGCAUAAAUCAGAGGUACUUGCUGCCUUUUCUUUUAUGUGUGUUAUCCAUUGCAAUGCAAAAAAUAGUAGGUUUUCUUUGAACAUGGGUAUAAUAGAAUCCAUAACAGAAACCUUAAUUGCCUUUACCUCGUUUAUAAAUUCAAGUCAGAAAUAAAGGAGAAUGAAUCCACCAAAUUGCUCUACGUUUAAAGAAAUGGUGUUUCUAGUUGUAGAGAUAUACAUAUAAAUAUCAACAAAUGGGCCAAGAAUACUAUACUGUACAAUCUCUAAAUGGGCCAACCAUGAUUAUCAACAAAUGAAAAACUUCACAACCCCCAUGAGAAUACCUCUCAAGCAUGGAUUCUUGAACCAGAUAAAAUCAUCUAUUUGAAACCUAUUUUUGCAUGGAGGAAAUCUAGAAAAAUAUACUUUAAAUGAACUAAGCUUAGUACUGUGUCACUUAUUCCCAAAAUUCAUGAAUAGAUACAUUAUAGAAUUGAAACAGAAGUUCAAAGAUUUUACCAAAUGAAGCAAAGCCGCAAAGAACUUCUCCUCUUUUUUUCUAUCCUGACCUCACUUUCUUUCCAUUUUAUUUUCGGCUCCCCGAUUCCAGACUACUAUUCGUAUACUACUUCUUGCUUUCGAUUUGUUGUUCCCGACCUUCUAUCUAUUUUCUUCUAUUCUUCUUUUCUAUUGAAUCCCGGAGCCCUAACCCUCUCUGUUUCCUUUUCUUUUUCUUUGCGAUUUUUCCGCUGAUUUCUCCACACCCUCACCGUCUCGCUUUUAGUGUACUCUUCCAGAAAACCAGAAAAUCCCAGAAUGUUCCAUCUUUCUUUCUUUGCUUCUGCCUCUCUAUCUAUCUUUCUUUGCUUCUCGUUCUGUCUCGUAGUCUCCGCCCCAUGCUCUCUGUUUCUAUCGUCCUCUCUGCAGUUCCUCUGUCCUCUGCACGUUUCUUUCCUAUCUUCGUUAUUGUUCUCUCCUCCUACUUCGAUCAGCAGAAGAGGGAUGAGAAGGAUGAAAAGAAACGGCACUUUCUGAUGAAAAGAAAUGGUGAUUGAAGAGAUGUACAUAUGAAUAUGAGUAUAAUGGAUAAAGAAAGUAGAUAAUGGCUGAUGUAACUUACAGCAAAGAAUAUGUUCUUCUGCGUAUUGUUAAUUGUUUGUGACGAAUGGAAAACACUGGUUUUAAUUUGCAGGAGCGGAAAAUAGAGGGAAAAAAAGGAAGAAGAGUAACUGCCGACGGAUAUGCAAGGCGAAACCAAAUUUCCAAAACGACACC